GUGGGGAAUUUUGGACAAUGGGCGCAAGCCUGAUCCAGCAAUGCCGCGUGCAGGAAGAAGGCCUUCGGGUUGUAAACUGCUUUUGUACGGAACGAAAAGGCUCUGGUUAAUACCUGGGGCUCAUGACGGUACCGUAAGAAUAAGCACCGGCUAACUACGUGCCAGCAGCCGCGGUAAUACGUAGGGUGCAAGCGUUAAUCGGAAUUACUGGGCGUAAAGCGUGCGCAGGCGGUUUUGUGAGACAGGCGUGAAAUCCCCGGGCUCAACCUGGGAAUGGCGCUUGUGACUGCAAGGCUGGAGUGCGGCAGAGGGGGAUGGAAUUCCGCGUGUAGCAGUGAAAUGCGUAGAUAUGCGGAGGAACACCGAUGGCGAAGGCAAUCCCCUGGGCCUGCACUGACGCUCAUGCACGAAAGCGUGGGGAGCAAACAGGAUUAGAUACCCCUGUAGUCC
rnacentral:rRNA from 1 species